rnacentral:lncRNA from 1 species
CCCAAGUCUUUUUUUUUUUCCCAAACCCUCGACUCUUCUAAAAGCACACAGCUGAAAGCGAUUGAAAGAAGUCAGAGCACCACUUGUUGAAGGGGGUGUGGGUUAUUCACCUCUGAAGUCUUCUUUCCCAAGUUGGCACUGCCAUUUGUGAAAAAGGAGACUCCCUAUCAAUAUACUUAAGUACUGACUGGGUUAAAUACAGGAAAUCUAGACCUUCUACAAGUUUAAACUUAUGGAAUGAUUGCCACACCUCCUAAACCAUGAGCGGUUAAUAAUUGUGGUGUAAUAGCAUUUUGGAAACUCUGUCUACUGAGCUGUGGAGAGACAGCAGGCAGUUGCUUGGAAGACAUUUCCAAAGGUUCCGCUACUGGGCCGGACCAUUUAGCAUCUGAGGCACCAAGGAAAACACAAAGGAUUGUCGGUGUCAGGUCUGAGGCAGAAACAAGCUUUGAAAUACGGGAGAGGAUAACAAAGCAAAGCCUCAACAGCUUGGAUGCUGAAUGA